GGAGUACUGAGCACACUACUACUGCUUGAGUACUGAAUACACUUCCAUCUCCUGAGUACCAAGUAUACUACCAUCUCUUGAGUACUGAGUAUACUACCACCUCUGGAGUACUGAGCAUACUACCACCUCCUGAGUACUGAGUGCUGAGUACACUACUCCACCAGGGUCACAGGCUUCUUACUCCUCACUAAUUUUAAUGAUGAUUUUAUCUUCCAGGGUUAACAAAAUUAGUAGAUUUACACAAAUGAUGGAGAAUGACUAGUUUACACUUUGAAAUAACUUUUUUGGGUAAACCUUACAUUUCUUCUAUUUUAUUUCAUGUGCAGAGCUCACGCAUGGCUGGCCUUUCCUCCCCACCAUCCACCCGGGAGCCAGACCAUCCACUCCCGCUCCUGUGGAGUUCUCGCAGGUUGCCUGAUGUGUUUAUCAGUGCACAAAUGUGUUGACGCUCUGGCCUCACCAGGCACAAGAGAAAUAAAGGAAGAAAAGUCCAGACAAGAGAUUGCUUCCUCGGGUGGCGGAAGAACUGAUAAACACAAUGAACAAUCCCGAGGAACAGAACAACAGACGAACCCUGUAUCCCGGCCACUGACGUCAUCCUGCACACACGCCAGUGAGACUCAUUUUGGACACACGGAGAACAAUGUCUGAAAGCUCUGUUCUUUGUUGAAACCUACUCGGUGUCCAGAAAACAUUCUUUCCUUCAUUUGCUUAUUCAUUCAUUUAUUCAAAUUUAACACAGAUGAGGUCACAGGGUCGGGUCUAUUUUUGCUGUGUUGAAAAGUUUUACAUUAGUGUACUUUGAGGGAGGCUAAUUCCUGACUAUAGAGACAUGCCGAUUUCACUUUAA
rnacentral:sRNA from 1 species